GAAUUCACUAGUGAUUCAGGCCUAACACAUGCAAGUCGAACGGUAACGCGGGGCAACCUGGCGACGAGUGGCGAACGGGUGAGUAAAGCAUCGGAACGUGCCCAGUAGUGGGGGAUAGCCCGGCGAAAGCCGGAUUAAUACCGCAUACGACCUAAGGGUGAAAGGGGGGGAUCGCAAGACCUCUCGCUAUUGGAGCGGCCGAUGUCAGAUUAGCUAGUUGGUGGGGUAAAAGCUCACCAAGGCGACGAUCUGUAGCUGGUCUGAGAGGACGACCAGCCACACUGGGACUGAGACACGGCCCAGACUCCUACGGGAGGCAGCAGUGGGGAAUUUUGGACAAUGGACGAAAGUCUGAUCCAGCCAUGCCGCGUGCGGGAAGAAGGCCUUCGGGUUGUAAACCGCUUUUGUCAGGGAAGAAAUCCUUUGAGCUAAUACCUCGGGGGGAUGACGGUACCUGAAGA
rnacentral:rRNA from 1 species